CUCUGAUAACAGUACCCGUUCCGCGUUUUACAAGAAUAAGGCGUCGUGACGACAACAAGCUCCCCCCUCCGGCCUGGCGUCACGCGGGAGAGGAAGGCUGCCGCCAUUACUACAAUUCAUCAUCCAUAUACAGAAAAAGCAGCAAUGGCAGCCUACAGACACCUGCUACGUAGAGUGGCUCACGUGGGACAAUGGGAAGACCUGGCCAUCAGGAGGAGAACCCGUUUGUUCAGGAGCCGUAGGGAUCCCUUUGAAAUGUACUCGGAAGAGGAGUUCACUCAACGCUUUCGGCUCUCCAAGCAAGUCACCCUGGAUCUCUUAUAAAAAAUCCAGCACCUAUUGCCAGAUUCUACCAGGAAAAGAGGGCUUCCAAUCCCACCACGUCUCCAGCUGCUGGUAACCCUCCGCUACUAUGCCACUGGGAGCUUCCAGCUUGACAUGGGGGAUUGCUGUGACAUGUCGCUGCCCAGUGUAUCUACCUGUGUCAAGACUGUGACCAGUGCAAUCUGCCAGCUAGCAGGGGACUACAUAAAGUUCCCCAGUCCUGCUGAAGAACAGGAUGUCAUGCGACAAUUUGCCGAGGUAGCUGCCAUGCCCGGAGUUAUUGGAUGUGUAGAUGGUGUACACAUCCCAAUCAUCAGUCCAGGUGGAGAAGAUGCAGAACUUUACCGCUGCAGGAAAGGCUUUUUUUCAUUGAAUAUAAUGGGGGUCUGCAACUCAUCCAUGCUCUUCACAAAUCUGGUCGUGAACUGGCAAGGUAGUGCACAUGAUGCCCGCAUCUUCAGUGAGUC